UGAGCACUUCCCAAAAAGCCUUGCUGUUUAUUUACCCAAUCCCAGUGGACAGCUGAAGACAAUAAAUAUCAUCUCAGGUCUCUCUUGAGAUACUACUGAGCCCAGUGAUCCAGUGUUAUGCUUGGAGGGGCUAUGACAGGUGUGGAUGUCCAGAAAGAAAGACAGAAGGAGAAAAUCUACAGGCAGAAACAGGGAGGACAGUGGGCAAAUUGUGGUAAUGUUUCCCAUCUAGAACAUCGCUGAGGUAAGUGAAAUUUAAGUAAGUGAACGGUGCCAGAAUAAAAGUUACCAGCUCCUUUUCCA
rnacentral:lncRNA from 1 species